GACGAACGCUGGCGGCGUGCCUAAUACAUGCAAGUAGAACGCUGAAGGAGGAGCUUGCUUCUCUGGAUGAGUUGCGAACGGGUGAGUAACGCGUAGGUAACCUGCCUGGUAGCGGGGGAUAACUAUUGGAAACGAUAGCUAAUACCGCAUAAUAGUAGAUGUUGCAUGACAUUUGCUUAAAAGGUGCAAUUGCAUCACUACCAGAUGGACCUGCGUUGUAUUAGCUAGUUGGUGGGGUAACGGCUCACCAAGGCGACGAUACAUAGCCGACCUGAGAGGGUGAUCGGCCACACUGGGACUGAGACACGGCCCAGACUCCUACGGGAGGCAGCGGUAGGGAAUCUUCGGCAAGGGACGGAAGUCUGACCGAGCAACGCCGCGGGAGUGAAGAAGGGUUUCGGAUCGUAAAGCUCUGUUGUAAGAGAAGAACGAGUGUGAGAGUGGAAAGUUCACACUGUGACGGUAUCUUACCAGAAAGGGACGGCUAACUACGUG
rnacentral:rRNA from 1 species